GAGAUGAGAAGGAAAUGAUUCAUUGAUCUAUCCAGAUGUCUUCAGAACACAGUGUUGCUAAAGUUACAGGUUCAUCAGCUGGCUGAGCAUGAAGCGGGGAGAAAUCAACAAGUUCUCAAGACAGCUUCACACCCAUCAAGAGCCUUUGAAGUUUAACAACAAAGCCUGACUCUAAGGGCAGAAGUAUUGGGCCACUCUCACAGCAAUUUGAUGCAGAACUGGUGUCAUCUCUCAGGCGUCUGUUGCUUUGCUGCCAAGGACUCCCUGCUGCACAGGGGAAGUGUGGGAAAUGUGCAAGCAGUCAGGAAAACUUUCUGACACUGACAGGACUCUGCUGCAGAGGUGCUGCUCUCCUUCUAAACUCCCUGUUGAAAGAUGCCCAAAAAGCACUUAGAGAGGUUGGAAAAGAAAUCCCCUGUCCAGGAGCUGUGAUGCUGAUGUAGAUGGAUAUGACAGGCAGGCUCAGAAGCCUC
rnacentral:lncRNA from 1 species